rnacentral:rRNA from 1 species
AGCGAACGCUGGCGGCAGGCCUAAUACAUGCAAGUCGAACGGUCUCUUCGGAGGCAGUGGCGGACGGGUGAGUAACGCGUGGGAACGUGCCCUUUGGUACGGAACAACUGAGGGAAACUUCAGCUAAUACCGUAUGUGCCCUUCGGGGGAAAGAUUUAUCGCCAUUGGAGCGGCCCGCGUUGGAUUAGCUAGUUGGUGGGGUAAUGGCCCACCAAGGCGACGAUCCAUAGCUGGUCUGAGAGGAUGAUCAGCCACACUGGGACUGAGACACGGCCCAGACUCCUACGGGAGGCAGCAGUAGGGAAUCUUGCGCAAUGGGCGAAAGCCUGACGCAGCCAUGCCGCGUGAAUGAUGAAGGUCUUAGGAUUGUAAAAUUCUUUCACCGGGGACGAUAAUGACGGUACCCGGAGAGAACGCCCGGCUAACUUCGUGCCAGCAGCCGACGGUAAUGUCACAUGUG